UACUUCAAUAGCACACAUAGUAGUAAUAUACUAAAUUUGUAAUGAUAAAGAAGAUUGACAUGGCCCCUGUGUCAGGAUGACAAAUUUGUGAUGCAUUACAUAUCUCU